UGAGGAAUAUUGGUCAAUGGGGGCAACCCUGAACCAGCCAAGUCGCGUGAAGGAUGAAGGUCUUAUGGAUUGUAAACUUCUUUUAUACAGGAAUAAAUUGGGGGACGUGUCCCCUUUUGCAUGUACUGUAUGAAUAAGGAUCGGCUAACUCCGUGCCAGCAGCCGCGGUAAUACGGAGGAUCCGAGCGUUAUCCGGAUUUAUUGGGUUUAAAGGGUGCGCAGGCGGGAUGUUAAGUCGGCGGUGAAAUUUUGCAGCUCAACUGUAAAAGUGCCUUCGAUACUGGCUUCCUUGAGUGUGGAUGAAGUAGGCGGAAUUUGUGGUGUAGCGGUGAAAUGCUUAGAUAUCACGAGGAACUCCGAUUGCGCAGGCAGCUUACUAAGCCACAACUGACGCUCAUGCACGAAGGCGAGGGGAUCAAACA
rnacentral:rRNA from 1 species